AGGUUGUUAAUAGGAGGAUUUGGCUUCUUUGGAAACCUCACAUCCAGGUUCAAAUUUCCCUUGUGACUGACCAGAUCAUUCAGUGCUUCAUAGAAGAUUCUAAAAGUCAAGUCAAAACUCACUUAAGUAUAAUCUAUGCUCAGAAUACGGGCAACCAAAGAGAACAGAUGUGGAGUUGAUCUGAGGAAAAUAUAUAUACCCAGUCAGGACACUUGGUUGUUGAGUGGUGACUGUCAUCUAUGCUCAGAAUAAUGGUAACCAAAGAGAACAACUGUGGAGUGAUCUGAGAAAAAUAUAUAUACCGAGUCAGGACACUUGGUUGUUGAGUGGUGACUUUAACAAUGUCUUAUGCUCUGAAGAUAGAAUUGGCUCUCCUGUUACUGAUACUGAAGUUAAAGGAUUUAAAGAUGUUAUUGCUGACUUAUAGCUUACACCUCUCAGAGCUAAAGGUUG
rnacentral:lncRNA from 1 species